rnacentral:misc_RNA from 1 species
UCUCCGUUGGUGAACCUGCGGAGGGAUCAUUACUGAGUUACCGCUCUACAACCCUUUGUGAACAUACCUAACUGUUGCUUCGGCGGGCAGAGGUCCCUCGCGGAUCUCUCCCGGCAACGCCCUCACGGGCGGAGCGCCCGCCGGAGGAUACCAAACUCUAUUUUAACGACGUUUCUUCUGAGUGGCACAAGCAAAUAAUUAAAACUUUUAACAACGGAUCUCUUGGUUCUG